rnacentral:rRNA from 1 species
UUGGAGGGCAAGUCUGGUGCCAGCAGCCGCGGUAAUUCCAGCUCCAAUAGCGUAUAUUAAAGUUGUUGCAGCUAAAAAGCUCGUAGUUGAAUUUCGGGAUCAAUAUGUUGGUCGUGCCUGGUACGUACUGGCGUCAUUGGUUUCUACCUUCUGAAGAACCUCGAUGUCAUUAAUUUGGUGUCUUGGGGAAUCAGGACUGUUACUUUGAAAAAAUUAGAGUGUUUAAAGCAGGCUUUAGCUUGAAUACAUUAGCAUGGAAUAAUGAAAUAGGACGUUCGAACCUAUUUUGUUGGUUUCUAGGAUCGACGUAAUGAUUAAUAGGGAUAGUUGGGGGCAUUAGUAUUCAAUUGUCAGAGGUGAAAUUCUUGGAUUUAUUGAAGACUAACUACUGCGAAAGCAUUCUGCCAAGGAUGUUUUCAUUAAUCAAGAACGAAAGUUAGGGGAUCGAACGACGAUCAGAUACCGUCGUAGUCUUAACCAUAAACUAUGCCGACUAGGGAUCGGAUGAUGUUAAUUUUUUAAUGACUCAUUCGGCGCCUUACGGGAAAC